CUGGUUUCACUCAAGAGUGAAAAAUUUUCCAACCCCUGGAAAGUUUCGGCUUUCGUGAUAGCUGUUAUCGUUUUGAGUCUCAGCAUUUGGAGUCAGACAAACAACAUCCGGACUUUCUUGCGGAAGUAACAGUUUACUUAAUUAGUAAUUCACAAUGGGGUUCAUCACUUUGUCCUCAUAUUCCUCAGUUGUUCUCUUUGAAAUAUUUGAAUGUUUCCCUAGCUAAACUUCAUGUAAUUUUAUUUUUAUGAGUAAUCUUAAUAUUGUAGUCCUAUUUGCUUGUAUGUAAAUUUUCUUAUAUGUUUGUCCUACUUCCUUGCCAAACAUAGGAUGAUAAACUAUCCAAACUCAUAGCUGAGUGAUCUACCAAAAGAAAAGGAGAAAAAAAAAAAACGAAUCUUGAAUUCUUGAUAACCGAGUGUUAGUCAAAUUAAGGUUCAAGUGUGAUUUGGUGCUCUUUUAUAACUACGGUGAAGUUUGAUCUCCCAUGAAUUCAAAUACAAGUGAUUGCUAGUUUGCUACGCGGUUUCUCUAUUGAUGCCAAUUAUGGGUUCUUUCAUCAAGCUAAAGGCUAUAGGGUGGUGGUCUUCUGGUUCCAUUGAAGUGAAACGUACUAUUGUUACCCUAAUCUAUGAGACAUUUUCCUAGUAAUAUCUCCACUAACAUCAUGUUGUGGCUGUGUUCAAAAAAUAGGUUUGUUCUAGUUGCAGGCUAACUUGGUUAGAUGCUGAAAAGUUGUUAGCCCGGAGAUAUGAGGUUGUCCAAAAUUUGAAGUCCAAUUCUGUUUGAACAAAAAGUGUCAUGAUACUUCAUUCGUUUUUCUCCAUAUUGAUGGUCUCCAUUGAUUAUGAAGUUGGUUCAGUUCUGGAAAUAAGAAAUGAUGAGGUUUAGACUGUUACCAUAGAUAUUUGUCAAAUUGAAAGGUAAUUCAAGGUAAUGCAAGGUAGUAAUAUACUGUUUACAUGCAAGUAAAACUUAUUUUGACUUCAUAAUUUGUCUAGUUUGCUCUAGUAGCAUAUACACGGCAGGUAAUGAUCUGAAGAAAAUUUGAUAAGAUGCAUGAUGACUUGUAUUGGUGAAAAUGAAUGAUAUUUUUAUCUCACUAAUUAGAGCUUAGGCUUAACCUGCCAAAAUGCAUUAACAGGAUGUAAAAGCCUUUAAAUUUUCAAUAUCGGCAAAGUUUGAAAUCUAGUAAACUGAAAGUGCACCCCAAAUCCUAAACAACAGAGAAGUUCAGGAAAUGACACCAAAACUAGGAUCCGGCUCCUCUAAAGUGAGCAAACCGUGAAGUUAGUAAAUUUCAUAACAUCUUCAGCCUCCAUCUAAUCUAAUGGUUCAAACAUAUCCACAUCAAUUAUGUACUUAGAAAAUGUUGAAAAUUUAUUUUUCAAUAACGUUAAUUUGAAUUUCUAUCUUUCCUUCUUUUUUUUUCAUUAUUCAACCUUCAUCUUUGUUCUUGCUCUGGAACCUGUGCUUCUAUGAAUUUCUCUUUGAAAAAGCAAAUUGCCAGAUUCAUGGUACAUGAGUGCUUCAUAGUACUCCACAUCAAUAAGACUAUUGCAAUCCAUGAACAAUUGCGAUUAGUACUCCAAUCGAUUUAUAAACCAAAAGCUAGGAAAAUUCGAAAGAUUGGUGAGAUCGAUGCCUACCAUUCGAUUAUUAAUAGGAAAACCAACUAUAUUGGAAACCCAUAUGGUCAUCAUCUCCAGAAAUCAAAAUAGAAUGCAAAUUACAAAUCCUAGAGUGUAGAGGUUGAUGGCAGAUGAACCAAUUAAAGAAACCUCAUUUGAAUAAAGAAACUAAAGCUUUUCUAUUCAAACCUUAAAACAUCAAUUAAGUUAUACAUUAUGAAUUCGAUCACCCUUCGAUCAGAUAUGAAGACUCGCUUGAUCUCAUGUUUAUGAACACAGGUUAAAAGUUUUUUUUUUUCUUUUAAGUUUGUUGUUAGAGAAAAAAUCACUUGUAUAGAAAUAAAUAAAUAAAUAAUCCAACAAUUGAUGUUUUUAAUUGAUGUGGAUACAUUUAAACCAUUAGAUUAGAUAGAGGAUAAAGAUUUUAUGAAAUUUACUAACUUUACAGUUUUCUCACGGAUCCCCAAAACUAUAUUGUCAGAAUAUAUGCACAAACUUUAGAGCAUUGUGAAAUCUAUUUGUAAAGGGACGUAAAGUUAAGUAUUAUCUAUUUAAUUAUUAAGGCAGGAUUCAUCAUAUAGCUUGACGUUUUUUGGCCGUGGUAUAGUGCAGAUAUAUUUUUGUAGUAGUGUUAUUAAGGCAGGGUUUAGAUACAUUUUUGUAGUAGUGUUAUUAAGGCAGGGUUUAGGGUUUCUGCACUAUAUAUCUUGACAGCGAGUUCUAAUUCUAAAUUUGAAUUGAAAAGGUUUUAUAUCUACAAAGAAGGCAGGAUUCAUCUUCUCCUGAAAUUAAAAGACAGAAAGGAAAUGCAUUAGAUUUAUCAAAGUAAACAAAAGUUCAUAGCCUUUUGUAUUCAAUUCAACUGUCAUCUUUAAUAGGUAUUUGAAGAAAUAGUAUGUGAGACAGUGAUUAAUGGAUUUUGAAAAUGAACUUAAAACAAUGGAUUAAUGGUAGAUACAAUGUCUGAUAAAUCAGGGUAACAAUAGUGUGCUAUCAAUUCCAAUAGGCAGAUCAGAAUAUCUCACUUACAGUUUCAGAACUACAAUAUAGAAAAUCCAGAAUUUAAAGGAAGGCAAAGGAAAUAGAAUUUCGAGUAAGAAACAAGAUUGCAAUGUUUUUAGGACAUCGAUAAUCAUGUAAUGAAGUUACACUAAAUAAUAAAAUGCCUAUAACGUUUGCCAAGUUCUUGCUAGUUUCCUGCUCUCCAAAUCCAAGCUUCAAAGCACCUGUAAAAUUCAUGAGUGAUUAAGAAAAUCAAUGGUAAUACAAAGCCAAGCACUGUAAUUCAAACAUUCAAUAGAUGACAAAAAAAAACAAAAAAAAAAAAAAUUUGAAGGAACUGAUGACAAAAGUUUGAAAACAAGUAUUCUUUAUCUAAAUAAGUAAUUGUACUAAAUGGUUACACAAAUUAAAGAAUAGUAAAGGAAACUUGAAGGAAAAUUCUAAAGUACCCAACAAAUUUCUAUACCGUGGUUUUUUUGAAAUUUUUUUGACAAACAAAAGGACAUUUGGUUAAAACUUUUAUAAUAAAUGUCCAUAUGUUGUAAUUACGAAGUGUGAACCAAAUUUACAAAUUUAUGACACUUGUUAUAAAAUUGCGGACGAAUGUGUUGUCGAAUUGUAAAUUUUCAGAUUUGGACCAAAUAUACCAUUUGUCCUUGUUCACGUAAUAUGAUUCUCGGUUUUGUAAUUGAGUUGUGUUUUUUGUAUUGAGAAAAUAAUAACAUCUUUCACAACGUUUUUACAAACAUAAGGACAUUUGCUUGAAAAUUUUGUAAUAAAAUGUUCAUAUGUUGUAAUUACGAGGUCUGGACAAAAAUUACAGAUUUAUGACCCAUUUUAAAAAAUUGAGGACCGAUGUGUUAUCGAGAUGAUAAAUUUUCAGAUUUAGACCGAAUAGAUCAUUUGUCCUCAUUCACGUAAAAUAGUUCUCGGUUUUGUAAUUGAGUUGUGUUUUUUAUAUUAAGAAAAUAAUUACAUCUUUCACAACGCUUUUAUAAACAUAUGGACAUUUGCUUGAAAAUUUUGUAAUAAAAUGUUCAUAUGUUGUAAUUACGAGGUAUGAACCAAAAUUACAUAUUUAUGCUCCCUGUUAUAAAAUUGAGGACGAAUGUGUUGUCGAUAUGGUAAAUUUUUAGAUUUAGACCGAAUAGAUCAUUUGUCCUCGUUCAUGUAAAAUGGUUCUCGGUUUUAUAAUUGAGCUGUGUUUUUUGUAUUGAGAAAAUAAUUACAUCUUUUCACAACGCUUUUAUAAACAUAAGAACAUUUACUUGAAAAUUUUGUAAUAAAAUGUUCAUAUGUUGUAAUUACGAGGUUUGAAUCAAAAUUACAGAUUUAUGACCCCUGUUAUAAAAUUGAGGACAAAUGUGUUGUUGAAAUUGUAAAUUUUCAGAUUUGGACUAAAUAUACCAUUUGUCCUCGUUCAUGUAAUAUGGUUCUCGAUUUUAUAAUUGAGUGUUGUUUUUUGUAUUAAGAAAAUAAUUACAUUUUUCACAACGCUUUUACAAAGAUAAGGACAUUUGGUUGAAACUUUUGUAAUAAAUGUCUAUAUAUUGUAAUUACGAAGUCUGAGCCAAAUUUACGUGUUCUGAACGAAUUUACUUAUAUUUGUGUAAUUGUGUUGUUAAAUUUGUAAAAUAAAAAAGAAGAAGAAUUACAUACAAGUAUCUGACCAAAUUUAAAAACACAAAAAACCCACUUGCAAUAAUUUUUAAACAAUACAGGACGUAGGCCCAAGCCCAAGACCAACAGUAUCAGACCUCCCUCUAAAAAAUUACAUGAAAUAACUCAAAUGUCCUAUCACAUACUGACCUUCCUUUCUCCCAGACCUCUUUCUCUCUCAUACCAAAGUUUAUCGACAAGAGCAGCCAUCUUGACGAUGACAGACAUCGCUCGAUGAUAGGUGCAUAAUUACACAUUAUUUGUAUCAAAAUCCUCUAUACUUGCUUUGUUUGUUUGGUGUGUUUUCUAGUUAUUUACUUUGUUUAUUUUUUUUCUAGGUAUUUUGAAGCAAAUAAGAAGGAAAGAAGGAAAAGAGGGAGUAGAAGACAAAAUUCGGAAAUCUGCCUACGCAAGUCAGCCAACUUCGACAGGACACUGAGGGCAGCUCGAGAAGAACCAGAUGAUGAGUCUUAUAUCAACGGAAAGCUACGGAUGUCAGUUUUCCAUAACAUUUUACGGUUCAUGAAUAACAUUUUCGUAGAAGAAGUUAUGGCCAAUUUAGUACCAUAAGGUCAAUCUGCACAAGAACCUGACUCUUGACGGAUAUUUGUGUUUUGAGGCCCAAAUCACACCGGGAGGCCUAUGGAUGAGUUUUCACUUCAUAUUACGACUUAUAACCUCGAGGUGAGCUAGCUGAUUAUGAAGAAUGAAAUGAGUUGGCAUACUUCCAUUGGUCCUACAGAUGAGUACCAAUCAGAAUGUCCAAGGAAACCUAAAUCAAGAUGGAUUGGUUGAAGGAAGCAAAAUAAAAGCCUCUGCUAUCAUCUUUGACGGCUUCUUCUUCGCCUCUUCUUCUCCACCCAUUCUCCUAUGUUUUCUUUUUAUUAUGUUUAUUUAGUUUCUCUUAGUUAGGGGCUGCUUGAAGCCCUAGACAUGAACAACAAGAUGAUUUGAGUUUUGGUUUUUAGUUUUUUUUAAUUCAAGAUGAGAUUUCACUACCAGGACAAGCACUUUAGCCGACGAAAAAUCAUGCGGACCCCCAGAUGAUGUUUCACCGUGAUAUAACCAACAUGUGUACUUCUCCCAAAACCCGUUACUCUUCAGGUGCUGCCAUACUUUGUCAAUCGCAAAUCGAUGCAUAUCGUUGCGACACUGACAUUUCGUGCACGGGCAAUAGAAAAUUGUAUUCCCGUUAGCAUUAGCCAGCGCAUAUUCCAGAAAACUCAUAAUUUCUUUACCAUAUCUUUUGUCCAAUUUUGGAAGCGAAAUCCAACUCUUAUCCAUAUCCGAUCCUGAAAAUAUAACAAAAUAUAUAUGUACAACGCUAGCUAAUUAUUAAUUAAAUUCUAUGCCAUAUAUAAAAUUUCAAUUCAUUUAUAUAUAUAUUCUACGUACUACAACUAAUUGAUAACAAAUUAAUUAACACACAUAUAUAUAUAGAUAUACUUAAUUAAGAAUUACAUAACAAUUUAUAUAUAUCAACAUCAUCACAAAAUCAUUAUCAACAACUUCAUACCAUCAACACAAUAUUAUAAAUUAAUUAACAUAUAUAUAUAUAUCUACUACUUAUUAACAACAACUUCAUAUAUAUUAUCAAAUCAUCAACCCAAUCGAUCAACACACAUAUAUAUAUACAUCCCACGUACUCAAAAUCUAUCAAUUCAAUCACACUCAAAAUCGAUAAACUCAAAUAAAACUCAAAAUCAACAUAUAUACACAUGUACGUACCUAUAUAUAGCUCCACUUCUUAAUUAUGGACAGAUUUCAACAACACCCAAACUUUUUCUCCCGUUUUUUCUUCUCCCGUUUUUUUUUCUCAGAUAAGCUGCUGUCCAGAUUUGCGAAUAUAAAGAACUUUAGCCGACGAAAUUUAUUUUCGUCGGCUAUAGUCAACUUUAGCCGACGAAAAUAAAUUCUUUAGCCGACGAAUUUUUUAUUUCGUCGGCUAAAGUUGACUAUAGCCGACGAAAAUAAAAAUUAGACGACGAAGGAAAAUUUCGUCGGCUAAAGUCUGCUUUAGCCGACGAAAAAUUGAUUCGUCGGCCUGGUUUUUUUUUUUUCGUUCGGCUAAAGUCUUUCUUCUGGUAGUGUUUGGUUUACUAUAUUUGCGUUGAUGAAUUCUUUUCAUGUUUUCUUUGAGUGCACGCUUAGUAUUUAUAGCUUUGAUAGUUUGAUGUCAGCGUCAAUAUUGGACUCCUCAAACUAUCUAGAGACCUCAAACUAUCUAGAGAAGCAAUUGUUAGUUUUCGCUAGCAAGUAAACUAAGUCCUAGGUUUAGCAAGGCUCUAAGUUUAUUGCGAUGCCUUGUGAUGUCUCAAAACCUUGUAGAACUUAAGGAUCUCUGCAUGUUAAAUCUAAUAAACGUACCUUUAGGCUGCACUGCUUGGGAAUAGUUUAGGUGUAGAGCGCUUUCUGCCUAGCAUACGAAGUAAGAAAGGGUAAUAGGUUGUGUUUCAAGCGUACCGAACCAACCUGAGCAUCCUCAUCUAGAUUAAUUAAACUAUAACUGAACAGAUUGUCUUGUGUGUGAUUGUCAGGGUGGAUUGCAUCUUCCCUAGCUAGCUAGUUUUAUCUCAUUGUUUCCCAAAACCAAAACCAAAACCAGUUUUCGUCACUUUCUGUCCUCUGUUUUCCAGUAUUUAUUUGACAUAGCAAACGAACUCCGAUUCAUCUGAAUUUUUAUAUGUGAGUCCAUCUGUGUGUCUAGUUUUUGUCUGUAAAGUUUCGUAUUUUUCUGACUAGUUUAGGUUAGGUAACUGAUUAGGUUUUCUACUGCUUGUCGCUAGGAUCAGUAGUCACUUUUGUGACAUCUUUUGAGUAGUUAGAUUCAUUUAGUCCUUUGCGGGAAUGAUCCUUAUUUGCCCAUACUAUAAACGACGAUCUAGUAGUGAAUAAGAAAAAUAAAAUUGGUUUAGAAACAACUGAUCACUCGACGACGAUGGCCCACGCUCGACGGUGACGAACAACACUCGAUGACGACGGAUGACACUCGACCAUGAUGGCCCAAGCUCGACUGUGACGAAUGACACUCGAUGACGACGGAUGAUGCUCGACGACAAUGGCCUGCACUCGAUGGCGACGAAUGACACUCGAUGAGGACGGCUGACGCUCGACGACGGAGACGGAAGAUGGACAACGCUUGACGGCGACGACUAACGUUUGGCACCUCAAUGUCGACGAUGCCCGAUGACGACACAAGAGAGAGAAGUGGAGGAAAUCUCAGCCCUAAUCUUUGUCACCGUCAUUGUCCGGCCAAUCUCCGAAGCCCAAAUUCAUCUGAUCAGGUAAAGCUUCGGCCUUCAAUUUCGAUUUUGCAAUUUCUAGGGAUUUGUUUCUCUUCGAUUUGGGGUUUUCAUCAUUCAAUCGCAAUUUUAGGUUCAAAUUGUUAUUUUUUUUAUAUUUGAGGGUUCCGGGCCGUCAGGACUCGAUUUGCGACAAUGAAGUGUUUUGGGAGUAGGGGCUCCGUCGAGGCUAGCGGCUACUGGUGCCAAGUGAGUGGCGGAUCCACCAGGUGUUCACCUCGAAGUCGUUCGUGAAUUGGUUGAUGGAGGUCUUUGUUGAAGUUGUUGUUAUCUUUGUUUCUUUGCAGGUUUGUUUUGACAGUAGCUGCUUUGGCAGUAGCAGCAUGCUCGCAUCAACUUGAACAGUAGCAGCGUCUUAACAUUAGAGUCUGUAGUAGCAGCGGGCUAGCAUCACCGUCGGUAGCAGAAAAUGUAGCAAAGCAUCGAUAGUAGCAUCAAAAUUGCUGAAAAAAAUUGCAAUAGCAUUGCCAGUAGCACUUGGGUAUCGGUAGUAGCACAUUCUUACUUGACAGUAGCACAUAGCACAUUUCUGGUCGACAAUAACAGUAGAAUUUGUAGUGAAUGGUAUUCUGGUAAAAUUAUAGUGACAUAUGACAUGUGGACAUUAAUUUGUCCUAAUUUAUUAAUUUUUGUCCUUAAAUGUGUAAAAUAAUGUGUAAAGGAUGUGUUUGUAAACUGAAAUUUGGUUAGUAACUUUAAUGUAAUUUACUAUAAAAAGAAUAAAGAUGUCAUGUGUCAAAAUCUAAAUGGGUAAAUAAAAAGAAAAAAAUAUAUCAAGUAUUGGUGGGUAUGCUAGCCUGUCUCGAACUUGAAAAUCUCUUAUGACAAAAGUUUGAAGGAACUAAUGACAAAAGUUUGUUUUCAGACCUAUCAUUACCUAGGCACCUUUAACUCAUUGGUAAUACAAAACCAAGCAUUGUAAUUCAAAUAUUCAAUAGAUGACAAAAACAAAAAUAAAAAUUUGAAGGAACUGAUGACAAAAGUUUGAAAACAAGUAUAUAUUCUUAAAUUUGAAUGUAAGUUAAAAGUUUGAAACAAAAAUAAAAAUUUAAAGGAACUGAUGACAAAAGUUUGUUUUCAGACUUAUCAUUACCUAGGCACCUUUAACUCCACGUACUUCUACUCAUGUUCAUGAACUGAUUGAUUGGGAUAAUCUUACAUGAAAUUUGGGUCCUACAAGUCAUCUCAUUCCAACACACAUUUAGGAGAAAUUUUCCAUAGGCAUAUUAUGAAUUCUUAUUGCAGCAGGCCAACUCCAAACCAGGAAAGGGAUCUAAUUCUCCAAACAAACUCCAAAUCCUACUACAUUAGCUUUCCACUUCCCAACUAGAAAAGGAAAUCGAGAGACAUUUUUUCUUUCACUUCCUGUACUCCCCACUCACAUAAAAGGGAUGCUGGACUUGACAUGCCAGAUUAUGCCACACAUGAUCAAGGGAAAGACUCCCGAAGAGAUUCGCAAGACUUUCAACAUCAACAAUGACUUCACUCCUGAGGAAGAAGAGGAGGUUCAAAAGGAGAAUCAAUGGGAUUUUGAGUGAAGCAACAAAGCUGCUCAUUCUACUAUAUAUAUCUACAACAUUUAAUCCUAGUUACCAGUGUGUUAAUUUCUUGGUACUAAAAUUAAAAUAAUUGCAACAGUACAUGUGGUAUCCUGAAAAAUCAUGACUAAUUUCUAAUAUUAUUUUGUAAAUUAUCUAAGUAGGAGUUGUGUGGAUUUGUUGUUUAGUGAGUGGACUGGAAGUGUUCGAGCGAAUAAUUUCUUGAAAAUGCUAUAUCUGGACGGGUUAAAGAGUUGACUUUUUAAUUUGUUGGGUUUCUCGAGAAACUUCCUUCACAAAAGUUAUAGAGCAUGAUGAUACGAGUUCGUAGACACGUGGCACGCAUUAAACGGACUUCGUAUGCGGAAGUUAUGGUUAACGAAAGUGUCGUGGCUUUUCGGGAAUUUUUAGUAUAAAUAAGAAAAGUUCUUAGGGUUUCCAUUUUUCAUUCACUUUCUCUUCCUCUCUUUUUCUCUUGCACGCCUCACCUUCAUAAUUAAAGAUUGGCGUCCGACCUGACCCGGCUUUCCCGGCUGACUCUGCCGGACUCAGACUGCGGCACCGGUCAAAAAUUCUUCCUCUACUCGACGCGAUCCUCCAUGUGUUGGUGAGUGAGGUCGACUCGAGAUGGUCUGUGCAAAUCGAGCGCCAUAGUGAGGACGACGACCCAGUUUUCAACCCGAUCUAGAUUUCCACCUCUAACGGCGGCGACGAGGCUUUGAACCGGUCAGGAUAGGAAGUGUUGGGUGCCCUCGUUGUGUAGAGCUACCGAGUUUGACUUCUCCUUGUGGUGGCGCUGCCUUGGCCGGAAUCCUAAUUCUGGAGGCGACGAGGCGCAAAGUUAGGUGAGUUUUGACAUCCCUUUCCUUUUGAGAACACCUACACGUGUCAUACAACGCAAUUUGAGUUUUUGGAAACCUUGAAUGUGCAGAUUGAAGUUCGAGCUUGUGGCUGUGUUUCAGGCCAUUUUCUUGUCGAUUUGUUCCUUGUCGCAAGUAUGAAAGAUGCCUAUUCUCAUUUGAUCUUUGUUUUGGUUGCUUUUGAGUGUCAAGAAUGUAGAGUUUAGGGUAGGGAGGUGAAUGAGGCCAACGCGCGGCCGCCUAUGGUGGCGCGUCUAGUAGAGUUGGUGAGAUGAGCAGUCAUUAUUGUGUUGUACUCGACAAUGCUAACAUUUUGAUAUGUCAUAAUGUUAUGUUACUAUGAGUGUCACAUAUUUGGCUUAAAGAUUAAAGUCCAUUGCUUUGAUUGUUGUUGUAGAUAUGACAUGGUGUGUGUCAAACAUUUCACUGAUCUUGAGAGGUCUUGGGGGAAACUUGUUCUCAAGGGACAAGUCUUUGGGUUAAGUUAGGUGUAGGUCCAAUAGUGAAAUGUCUUAGUCACAACUUGUUAUUAAAGUAAAGAUGUCAUGAAUUACUAGGUGAUUGACGGUACAUGUUCGUAUCUUACCUUUUGCUAAGAGAAGACGCAGCGGGAGUUUUGAGGUGAGUAACCUUCUUAAGGUUCAAGUAGGAAUCGACUUUCUUAUAUAGUGUGUUUGAUUUGCUAAAUUAUGGAAUUGUGCUCUCGAAAGUGAAUUGUUUUGUUUUAAAAUCAUGUGAACUUGAUCGUCCACGGUUCACGGGUAAGUAAAAUAUUUUCUUUUAAUAUAUAUCAGCUUUCUUGAGCCCUUCCCGAUUGUAGCUGUAUUUGAUAUUAGUUGCAUUUAUAUAUGUUCAUGGAAGUAUAUGUGCUUUGGUGAAAUUGUGUGUUAUGUCCACUUGUGUUAUUUGAUGAGGAUCAGUGGGUUAUGAGAACACGUAGUUUGGAAAUGUUUAUGAUCAGGACCUUGAGUUUAUUUGGAGAAAAGUAAUCAGUGUGUGGUGACGACCUGUGUGGUGAUUUGUGUGAUGAUAUGUGUGAUGAUUUUGUGUAGAUGUUGUGAAUUGAUGUUGAGAUGUAUGGUCGAGCGAUUGGUAUUGUUAAUGGUCUUUUGUUAAUGAUGUCUUUCGUAUUGAAUUAUUGUGAUUCUAAUUUGAAUACUUUAGUGUUUCUUGUGAUCUCCUGAACUAAGUUUCAUGCAUGGAUCAGUGUUUUCAUAUUUAUUUGAUCUCAAUGUAAUCACUUGAACUAAGCUAUGCGUAUGGAUUACUAUUGUUUCGGCGUGAUUCCUGAGGGGAUGAAUCACACAGAAUGCUAGAAGAACACCAUCUUCAAGACCCGUAACCUGUCAAUCAUGAGCAAACGGCGUCAGAGGGAAGACCAAGCUUGCCGGUCUUCAACCCUUUGAUGCCUAAGUCAGCUUCAUGAGAAUAAAGAUAAGGUAUGAAUAGGGUGGAGAUGGAGACUUACCCAAAUGAUGGGUGGAAAUAUGUAUUUAUAGAGAUAGGGUGAUUGCACCCUUAAAGUAUUGUUUUUCCUUAUUGGAGAGUGUAUUUCUCUUAUGCCCUCAAGGAAGAGUGUUGGUAACUUGGGCUUAGUUAAGACCCAAACCCCUUUUACGUGGCAGUAUGUGUCUUCUUAGGCGAGUAUGACCGAUGUUCUAUCUCUCACAUAUGAUGUAUUAACAAGUCCCCAAGUCCGCGGUCAAAAGACUCUCUUGGGUGGGGACUUUAUCUGAUAGAGUAUCAGGAGUACGAGCCUUACUAGUGGCGACAUAACCAGUCCCUAGUCCCCCAGGUCCCCAUGCAAGGGAGGGGAUGGACCGGCUCCCUCUAAGUGGGGUGUUGUGUGCUGCUAUAGCUCUGUCACGCUAUGAGAAAUCAUGAUGUCAUGAUAUCUUGCAUGGAGAUACACCUGAAUGUGAGACCCCGGGACCGUUGCUCCCGUGUAGUGUCUGGAGAUUGCAGGGCAAUCGGGGGUCGAAGUUUAGGUACCGCUUGGUGCCAGGUGUGGGAACUCUGGUGAGCAUCUUAUGUGGGUAGUGGGUACCGGCAUGUUUGUAUGCCUUAGGCGUUUAGUAGCCUUUGAUUUGUAUCAGCUAUAUGCUCUAGCUGGCUGAGCUAUUCCAGCAUGUAUAUGUUCCAAGCGGAGAUUGUGGUGACAUAUUUUGUGGUUGCCUCUAGGUGAGUGCUAGAGUGCCUACGUACCCGUUUAUGGGAUCAAACCAAACAUAGUUCACCAUUUCACCAAUGAGGCAAGUGUGCUGUCGAGGUGUGGCGAGGAGUGUCGCUGGGGCAUAGUGAUGGUGCCGAUAGGGCAUGUGUAGAGCUGUUGGGGAAAGGGUGACUAUCGCUAAGGCGUAACGAGAGCACGCUAGGAAGCGUGGCAAAGACCCCGCUGGGGCAAGGCCAGUGUCGCCAAAGUCCAAUGUCGCCACGCUAAGGCGUAACGAGAGCACGGUAGGAAGCGUGGCAAAGACCCCGUUAGGGCAAGGCCAGUGUCGCCAAAGUCCACUGUCGCCAUGCUUAGGCGUAACGAAAGCACGCUAGGAAGCGUGGCAAAGACCCCGCUGGGGCAAGGCCAGUGUCGCCAAAGUCCAAUGUCGCCAAAGUGUAGCGAGAGCACACCAUGAGGCAUGGUAAGGGUGCCUGAUGAGGCAGGGAGAGUGUCGCUGAGUCGUAGUGAGUGUCGUUAUGGCGAGGGUAUCGAGUAGGCAUGGCAAGUAUCACGAAGGCGUAGUAAAUGUCGGCAUAUAAGGUUGUUGCCGAGACCUAGGAGAGUCGCUGCUGAAUUCUUAGGUAGAUGUUGAAACAUGGGAGAUUCAACAUGUCCUAGUAUUGGGAGCUAUUAUCGUGUCGGGUAGGAUGCGCAAGUCCCCCAGUGCCGGGAGUGAUUAAUGUGGCCGGUCACCGGAACGACAACUGAUUUGGCAUAGGGAAUUUCAUAUGGCGUGUUCGAGAGUUGAGGAUAAUGUCAUAUGUCUGGAGGUGCCUUAAACACUUUGGUGACUUGUAGGUGUCACGCGCUGAGGAGUGUUUAUAGGCUCAUCCCGGGUGGUUGAUAGAUGACUGAUACCACACUACAAAAAAUAAUUGUUUUAGCCACCACAGAUUACGACGGCGCGAAAAUGCCGUCGCUAAUAGUUCUUGUCUUGCGACGGCAUUCGUAAGGUAGCAGAAAAGAAAUUUAUUUUGCGACGGCAACGACACGCCGUGGCAAAUGAUGGAAUUAUUUGCUACAGCUAUAUCAUACCGUGGCAUGGAAACGAAAAAUUUGCGACGGUAUUCAAUGCCGUCGUAUAAAUUUGUUGCUACGGUUUAGUUGCCGUAGCAAACAAUCCCUAAAAGCUAAGUAAAAACAGGCGCCAUUAAUCCCGCCGCACUAAAAAUUUUCCGAGUCCCAAAUUUUUUUUUUAAGCGCCAAAAAAGGAAGAAGAAGGCUAUCUCUAAUUUGACAACCAAAAAAAAACCCAUCUCAUUUAAUCUUUGUCUAAACCCGUACAGCUCUACUGCAACUUAUCCCUCUCAACUGAACUCCAUCUUCAACUCAACCCAUCUUCAACUAAACUCCAUCUUCAACUCAACCCGUACUUUACAACUCCAUCGAUCUUCAAAACACUUGUCUGAGCCAAACUCUAUCUUCAACCUGUUCUUUACUCUUCGAUCUUCGAUACCUGAGGCAAAUUAUUGAACUCGAUCUUCGGUACUCUCUCUCUCUCNNNNNNNNNNNNNNNNNNNNNNNNNNNNNNNNNNNNNNNNNNNNNNNNNNNNNNNNNNNNNNNNNNNNNNNNNNNNNNNNNNNNNNNNNNNNNNNNNNNNNNNNNNNNNNNNNNNNNNNNNNNNNNNNNNNNNNNNNNNNNNNNNNNNNNNNNNNNNNNNNNNNNNNNNNNNNNNNNNNNNNNNNNNNNNNNNNNNNNNNNNNNNNNNNNNNNNNNNNNNNNNNNNNNNNNNNNNNNNNNNNNNNNNNNNNNNUCUNUCNCUCUCUCUCUCUCUCUCUCUCUCUCUCUCUCUCUCUCUCUCUCUCUCCUUGUUUUUCAAUUUCUGAAGGAAAACCUAUUUCAAUUUUGCAAUUUGUGGUUUUGUAUUUCAAUUUGGUGCUUGUUAAGGUUCUAUUGUUUAUGAAUUUAGUGUUUGGGUAUGUCAAAUUGUGAGAUUCGUUUUACUGUGUUUAUGAAUUUCAUUUUAUUAUUUGGGUAUUUCAAUUUAGUGUUCAAUUUGUUCCGUGCAGACUGUUUGGGUGAUGAAAACAGAGUAAAGAAUGUGGAUUGCUUAGGUCCAGCAACGCAGCAAGAAGACGUUUGAAAUAAGGAACACACAAGGUAAGAGGCGGAUCACUUCAGAUAAUUAUUGUUUGGGUUUGAGUAUAUGUGGCAUGAGUGUACUCUGAUUAAAUAUUAUUAGGCUACUAUAAGCAUGCAUUGAUCAAUUGGUAUGAUUAUGAAUUUAUGAUCAAGUGGUAAUACGAUGCAUUAUAAUUACAAGGCCGAAGCAACUAGUUUAUGGUGUAAUUGAUAUUCCAUUUUGGAGACAAUGAGAAGAGAGACAAGAUCUGUUUGAAUUGAAGAGAUGUAAUUGAUAUGGUAUAAUUGUGGAUUACUCUCAACGGUUUGCCUUUGGUGUCAAACACUACACAGUAGGACAAUGAGAAUUACAAUAAGGCUAUAUCAUGUUUUAGAUUGAUUAUUGGGAACAAGGGUGUGUUUGGUAUCAACUUGAAAUAUUGAAUAGGCAUGUAUUACGUUUUGUAUAAAUGGCUGAGUACUUGGUGCUUCUUUUAUUAGUUUAGAUAUGGUCAUUAGAGGAACUAAGUUGUGAUUGAGAACCUAAGAUUUGGUCUACUAAAGGUAACAUACUAGUCAUGGAGUAUGACAACAAAUUGGUAGUGAUGGUUUGUUUUGAGCUAUAUUACAGUUGAAUGAAUUACAAAAUGGGUAUUCAAGAUUGAUUGAUGUAUGUUGAAUUUUUACAUAAUAUAGGAUGAGUGUCGAUCCUUAAAGGUCUUAUUGGAUUUGAAGAAUAGUUUCUGAAUUGGAUAUAUGGAAUAAUUUAGAAGACCAUAUAAUCUUGGGUGUCCAUAGUAAUUGGGAGAACUACACCCGAUGAGAAGAAUAAUGUGUCUUCUUAGUAGUGAUCAAUAGCUCACAUGAAAAUAUUCAGUAAAGCAAAAUUAGCAUGAUUACCAUUUUAUAGAUGUUAUUAGAUGCUAAUAUUCAAGUAUUGUCCUUGUUGGACUAGGGACUCCAGUUUUGUUUAUGAAUUUCGUUUUACUGUUUGGGUAUUUCAAAUUGUGAGAUUUGUUUUACUGUGUUUAUGAAUUUCGUUUUACUAUUUGGGUAUUUCAAUUUGGUGUUCAAUUUGUUUUGUGUAGACUAUUUGGGUGAAGAAAACAGAGUAAAGAAUGUGGAUUGCUUAGGUCCAGCAACACAGCAAGAAAACUUUGAAAUAAGGAACACACAAGGUAAGAGGCGGAUCACUUCAGAUAAUUAUUGCUUGGGUUUGAGUAUAUGUGGCAUGAGUAUACUCUGGUUAAAUAUUAUUAGCUAGGCUACUGUAAGCAUGCAUUGAUCAAUUGGUAUGAUUAUGAAUUUAUGAUCAAGUGGUAAUAUGAUGCAUUAUAAUUACAAGGCCGAAGCAACUAGUUUAUGGUGUAAUUGAGAACAUGUGUGGGUGUUCAAUGCCGCCAUCCUGGGAGAGACCAGGUAAUAGCAAUGAGUGUUGGUGCUCAUGAAGCCAUUUGUCUUAGGUUGUGGAACAAGGACUGCGACCGUAGGCUAAUUGUGUGUCCGAGAUAGGUAGAACUUGUAAUCAACCCUUGGUAUAGUAUCUCCCAUGAUGAAAUAUGGUUGGUACCCCAAAUGGGCCCAAGAUAUUUUGUUGGCGUAAGUUGCAUGGCUCCCGACCGGUGGGGUGCCAUGCCAUGAACGAGGCUCUUGCUAGAGAGAAUAAGAUCAUUUCAUAUACAGCAUGUGUGGCUUGCAAUUAUGUGUAGCAAGUGUCAUGUGCAUAAGUGCAUCAAUGUGCUCGGAAUUGGUUUGCAAUUACAAAUGUGCAUUUAGCAUGAGCUUGGAGUGAUAUGCCAAUAACAAAUUGCAUUUGAAAUCGUGCCUAAUAGUCAGAGUCAUUUGAAGCAUGAAAAUAUAUGUAGCGUGUAUAAAAAAAAGUGUGUUGGGUAACUCUUUAUGUCAUGUGUAAUAAGCGUGCUAAAAAAUAUUGUAACAUAUAAAACAUGACAUGUGUAUAAGCAUAGGAUGUACGCUACUAAUGAGUAAGUAUGCUUGAGGUAUAGGAACCGAUAAAGCAUAUUGUAAAGCGUUGCAUGAGCUCAAAUUAAAAUGAUGUAGGUGAGAACUUAUCUAGAACGGUGUAGACGUGAUAUAGAUAUUGUAGAAUAAUUAGAGUUGUUGAUAUGAAACUCUAUAUGUUGGUCUAAGAGUGGUAUAAGAAUCCCGAUAAGAAGUCGAACCGAUGAUAAGACUCACUCAUUGAGCUCAUCGGUGAAGAUAACAGUAGUGUCUUGCCAAGGAGUAAUAUGUAUGUACACCAACAUAGAGAAGAGAAGUUGAUGAUAGCAUAUAAUGGUCCUUAUAGCGUGUGCUGAUGAUAUUUGUGGCAAGUAGAUGAGCAUAUAAGGGCAUGAGAGUUCUUGUUGUCCAAGAAUAGAUCAUAGGAGAAGUAUGUAGCAUUAUAGGUGGAAUUGUUGUCGACAACUCCCUGUUGGGCUUGACCCAAUAUAAUUAUACAGUGCCGAGGGGGCAUAGCAAUUGAGGACUUGAGAUGCUAUAAGGUAGCGAGGGGGGUUGGACGUGGCCACCAUCUGAUUUGAUUAAUUAAUGGAGUAAUCUUGUUGUGGCUGACAUAUGAAACAAGUAAUAGAUAUAGUCCCCUCCACCCUUUGGGUCUUCGUUGGGAAGACCUGGGUCAUGGGUGAGAUCUGGGUCGUCACGUGACAGUGAUUUUAGGUUACAGUUUCCACCCACGAUUUUAGUUUACGGGUCGCCACGUGGCAACAAUUAUUUAUUGAAUAUAAUAUAUAGCAUUUAUGUGCAAAUAAUGAUAUUGUACGUUAAUAAAAUCUUAAUGACAUAUUUUUUGUGUGGGAUAAAAAAGAUAUAGAAGGAUAGUAUGUAUUUAUAGGGGAUUGUAGAUUUUUUUUUUAAAAUAUUUGUCUUACCGUUGCAAUUUUUCCUUCAAUUUAUAAUUACAAAAAUUAAAUUAAAACGUUUUCAAAUUUUUUGAAUUUCAACAGUAACCAUAUGUAUAAUUAUUUAUUGUCAGAUCUCAUAUAUAUAAUUGUCUACCGUUGGAUUUGAAAGCAAAUGCAACACCAACAGCUGCUGACGCAUGGCCAUGUUCCCACCCAUUUGCACUAGCCGGAGGAACGCGCUAUAUGCAUGCCCUCAUUUGUUCGUCCACGCUACGCGCUCCAUCCCUCGUAUCGUCCCGCCUCCCUUAUUAUCUUCACGUGGCUGAUAUAUGCAUGGGCCCCACGAUACGGGCUGACAUGGCAAACGAAGGUCUGGGUCUUUAAAACGAAGGUCUAGGUCAUGGGUCUAACCCAGAUAAUGACCCAGGUGAAAGAAAUUUUAUGGGUGGAAAGAUGUUUUUUCUGGCUGGGUCUUCAUUUGAUAUGGCGAAGACCUAGGUCUAGGUCUUGUUUUUGAGGUUGGGGAGGACUUGCUCUAACUCCAUAGCUGCAGAUGUAUCAUAUUUGUACCAAUACAUGUAGCACAAGAUAUGUGGUUGUCAAUUAACCUUCAGAGCAAUAGCGGAAGUAUCAGUGUGAGGUUUCUGCUUGUGAGCUCUGCAUGCUAACACUUAGUCAACUGUUGAGGACGUGUAAAUUAAGUCUCAGAUCAUGGACAAAAGGCAUAUACGAAUAUACAUAUAUUUCAAGUUGUUGGGUCGGCAGCACUCACAAAAAGUAGAUAUAAUUGUAUAUAUCCAUGAUCAUGAUCAUGACCACGUACAAUAUAGACAAAGUAGAUCCACAUGUGUUAACUAAAGUAGUUCAGAUCGAGUUUAUUUAUACAGCUGAAGAGAGUAUUUUUAACGAAGACUCUUAAGUUAAUAAUUAGUUGAGAAUUUUUCGGCUUAUUCUAUUUUUCGAUCUUAUAUCCAUAUCUUGACUGUUCAGUUUAUAUGUAUUUAUGAGUAGAUCAUUUCUGCAAAUUUUCAGCCAUAUUGAAAAUGGUUAAGACAUUCACAAGUGUGAUUUAGUAAUUAUGAACUUAAACGGUUCAUGUUUGACAUAUUUGGUUCGUCUAUUAAUUUGAUCUAAUUUGUUACCUUAACGAUCACUUAUUUAGCUGAAAAUUUAUAGGGUUGAUCUACACAUAUAGACCUAAAAACUGAACGGAUAAGAUGUCAAGAUAUAAUCAAAAAAUAAGUCUUUUAAACCAUAAAUAAAAAAGUCCUUAACUUAAAGGUCCUCGCUAGAAGGGCUCCCUGUAUCUGGAUACCCCUUCUAAGCGCAGUGAUUGCACUGCCACUGCUGAGGAAUUAGUCUUGGAUUAAGCCUUUGAGAAAGUGCUGUGUAUGCAUUUUGCAUAGACCAUCUACUAGAGAAAUCUGGAAGAGCAGAGGUAAUUGGCAAGGUCACAUUAGUUGCGCUGAGGGGUAAUAAUAUUUUCUAGGUUAAAGGGAGGGUGCCGAGAGCAGGCUGCUAGGUGCCGAGACCACAAUUCUUUCUUUAUUUGAGUCGUUGUGGCGGGAACCAGGAACGGGAGGUGCCGAGAGUGAUGAGUCCCGACACCAAGAGAUGACCUGUGCCGGGAGCCGGGAGGGCUAGGGAUUGGUCUCGGGACGGAGACACGGAGAGUAGAGGGGUGCCGUGAGCCCGGGAGGCCAGGGAGGGGCAGUCGGGAGUUAGGUUGCUGGGAUGAAGAUUUGCUACGUCCCGGGAAGGCGGGAAAGAGGUGCCGGGUUGCAGGGAUAGGUGGGUGGCGAGUUCGAGUCUCGCAGUGCCAGACGGUGGUGCCGGGAUUGGAUUCGCGACACCGAGAGCGUGUCGCUGCCGGGAAGCUACUGCUGCGACUUGGUAUCGCUGCUGUAAUUGUGACUGGUGGUGUCGCGACCAAGGUGUCGCGGGGACAUGGGUGCUCGGGAAAAUUGUGUUGCUGCCAGAAUGGGUGUCCAAAUAAGAUUAUUGAGUGUUUGAUGGCCAUCUCCGGUGCACCGUGGGCGACAUUGCUGCCAGGAAGCUCAAAGGAGUUGAUAUUGUGCUGUUAAGCAAUCCACCAAGUUUGUUGCGGGAAUUGUACCAUCGGACCAGUGAGAGAAACAAGAACCCAAUCCUUCUCAACUUCAUAUUUUUUCACCGAAAAUGGGUCUCAUAAGUAAAAAGAAGAAUUUGAGAUUUUGUUGUUCUCUCUAAGACUUUGGAUUUGUGUCGAUGUGACUACUCGGAGGAGAGAAAAGUUUGUGGUGAUGUUGUUCCAGGGAUGGUUUGGAUAAAAAAGAGAUGGGAAGCUGGGUGUCCAUAUAUGGGUGUCCAUAACAGUUUCUGGGUACUGCUCUUCGGCGCAUGAGCCGUGGGUUUGGGUCGCCGGACGACGUGAAAGCUGCCAGUGGCUCGUCGGAGGUCUCUGACGACCUUGGUGAUGGAGGUGAGACACAGUGGAGGUCGUAGGUCAAUGGUGGAGGAGAGAGAUAAAACCCAGAUCUACUUUCUCUCUCCUCGAAACUCAUUGUGCUCAAAACCCAGAAGCUUGAAAAGCUUGAUUUUCAUGUAAGUGAGAUGUGAUAUUGGGAGGAUUUAUAACGUAGACGAGCUCCUUGUGUUUGAGGUGAGAGGGAGCUUGGGGGGNGGGGNNNNNNNNNNNNNNNNNNNNGGGGGGGGACGAGUGUCGCCGGAAAAAAGAAAAAUUUCCAGAAAAAUGAAUUCCGGCCAGACGGUGAAUAUGCUCAUGGUGAGCUAUGUGAGGGUUUCCACUUGAGAGCCCCUCCUUUUAGCGUCAAUUGUUUCGGCGUGAUUCCUGAGGGAUGAAUCACACAGAAUGUGGGCAGAACACCAUCUUCAAGACCCGUAAUUUGUCAAUCAUGAGCAAACGACGUCAGAGGGAAGACUGGGCUUGCCGGUCUUUGACCCUCCGAUGCCUAAGUCAGCUUCAUGAGAAUAGAGAUAAGGUAUGAAUAGGGUGGAGAUGGAGACUUACCAAAAUGAAGGGUGAAAACAUGUAUUUAUAAAGAUAAGGUGAUUGCACUCUUAAAGUAUUGUUUUGCCCUUAUUGGAGAGUGUAUUCCUCUUGUGCUCUCAAGGAAGAGUGUUGGUUGCUUGGGCUUAGUUAAAGCCCAAGCCCCUUGUUGCAACAUGUGUCAUCUUAGGUGAGUAUGACCGAUGUUUUAUCUCUCACAUAUGAUGUAUGAACAACUAUAUUUCCUAUUGUUUGUUUUUAAGUGGAUAUCCUGAUUCAAUUUAUACGUAUGGAUUACUAUGAUUAUUUAUGUGCCCUUCACUGAACUAGUUCAAUGUAAAGCUUCUAGUUUUAGUUAGUUAAGUGUGCAUUUGGAAUUUAAGGUUACUCAUACAGACUUGAAAAAGCUUACCGGGUAAUUUUCUGUAUUACUUGAUACAACACAUCUGCCUUCCUUGAUUUUCUUCCAGUUUGAUACUUGGAUGUUUGUUUUACUCUUUUCCAGGUCUUUUCUUUACUCUUCAAUGCUUCCAGUUUUUGUUAUGCUCAUAUAUGUUCAAGUGUGGAAAAUUAUUGGGGGUCAGUAAUUUUCCUGACCAGAGUAACCAAAGUUUCUAGAUCAUUGUUAUCACUUAGAUUCCUUUCA
rnacentral:lncRNA from 1 species